CAACAGUCAGGUGCCGGAUUUUCAGAUCCGGAUAAUAGGGAAACAGGUGUAAAUCCUGUACGAACUCGUCACUGUAACCGGUCGAUGCUUCAAUAUGCCACUGCGGCAGCGGGAAGGCGAAGCGGAAUCAUAGCCGGAAGCCAGGAGACCUGCCUGACU
rnacentral:ncRNA from 1 species